rnacentral:piRNA from 1 species
UGAUUUUAACUUUAUUAUCUU